GUGCUCACUUCAGCGGCACAUAUACUAAAAUUGGAAAGAUACAGAGAAGAUAAGCAUGGCCCCUGCGCAAGGCUGGCUCGCAAAUUCAUGAAGUGUUCCAUAUUAGA
rnacentral:snRNA from 2 species